CAGCAGCCGCGGUAAUACGAAGGGGGCUAGCGUUGUUCGGAUUAACUGGGCGUAAAGGGCGCGUAGGCGGAUCUUUAAGUCAGGGGUGAAAUCCCGAGGCUCAACCUCGGAACUGCCUUUGAUACUGGAGAUCUUGAGUCCGGGAGAGGUGAGUGGGACUGCGAGUGUAGAGGUGAAAUUCGUAGAUAUUCGCAAGAACACCAGUGGCGAAGGCGGCUCACUGGCCCGGUACUGACGCUGAGGCGCGAAAGCGUGGGGAGCAAACAGGAUUAGAUACCCCAGUAGUCCCUGUCUCUUAUAC
rnacentral:rRNA from 1 species